GCUGCAUCAGAUAUAGAUAAAUGCUCCAGGCACUUUUAAACCAUAGUUGGAACAGAAUUUUCAAUGAAAUUUCCUUGUACGCACCUCUCAUUACAAGACAACAUUGCCUGAGAUUCUCCAAACAAGGAUAAUAUUACCAGGACAAAUGAAUGAUGGAUAUAAUGGGCACUAGCACCAUUAACAAAUGAUGCCAUGCCCUGGGUGUUCCCAUCGUAUAAUGGCAGGAAGCUCAUGGAAACAUAAGCAUAGAAUACAGAGAUGUUGCUAGUAUGGUUCAACUUUGAAAGGUGCACUCUAGAUUGUUGUCAGCUCACCGUCAACUUCCUCCGGGAUCAUUUGCGCAGAUGAACCAGUUGAGAACCCCAACUUUAGCAUGAUUUCUUCCAAACGAUUUACAUUUGUGAGGUACAAGUAGCCAACCUACAAAAUGUAUUGCAACUAAGUAGAAUCCAGCCAGUAACUAAUUUCCACAUCACGAAUAAUGACAUUUCUGAGGACAUCAAGGCAAAUUGGAUAGCCAAUUGAUUAAGCAAAUUCGUAUAUCACAAAUAACCACACAACAUAACUCAUAUCGCCUGAACUACCUCUACACCAGCCCUUAAGACUUUCAUGUCUAGUAUUUAAAUGCAGUAAGUAGGAUAUCUGGUGCUAUCUAGGUUUUUAAAUAACAGAACUGAUCGUGGUGUUGCAGAAUUGGAGUGAAUUGCACAUGUACCAUAAUUUUAAAAAGAAAAAAUAGAUAAAAAAAAGGCUCAAAUCAACAUUAAACCAAUAUAACUAAAUAUCAUAUAAUCUUGCAGAUCUAACAAUUUAUAAAUAAAAUAAAUAAUCAAAGAAAUACAAGGUUAUUUAAAAAAAAUCAUAUUUUAUAUGAAUAGGUUAAAAUACUAAAUUAUAAGAAAAAUAGGGGUCGGAGAAGGUCCAAGUAAAUGAAUUCUGAAAUUGCUUGUGCGUGAAAACAAUAACCUUUUUUACAAGGCUAAAAAUAAAAAUCUAAUGAAUGGAAGCCCACUAUGCAUAAUGAUUGUUUUUCUUUAAGCACUGCCAUUUAGACAGAAAAUGGAUGUAAACUUAACCAAUUGUAUUUCAAAGGAUCACUGAUUAUGAUAGAACCAAGGUAAAAGAGCACAGACUAGUGUUUCCAGUGAAGAUGCUCUGUUAUAAACUGCUGCUCCAGCACGCUUUUUUGUCCGCGUUUUAGCUGAACCAACAUUCUUUCCCCACCGAAGAACAUCUCUUUCUUCAGCUGAUAGGCAAUUAUCGUUAAGAAGCUUCUGGAGCAAUGCAUCCUGAUUGAACAAAAUAUUAGAAUGACUACAAGCACAAAUAACCAUAAUAAUUUAAAGGAUAAAUGACUAAGAGCUUUGUUGAAGUCUGGCAAUAAUGUACACUUUCAUCCCAACAGCUCCAAAAUUAGUUAUUUUGGUCCUGAAAGUUUGUUAAUAGCUUACAUUUUAGCCAUUGAUUACAAAAUUAUAAACCUUUCAUUAAAUUUUAGUCAUAACAUUUUAAAUUAGACCACAAUUUAGUCCUUGAAAUUUCAAAUUUUAAUUGCAGUUUAGCCCCUAAAUUAUUUUACCAUAGAACACUUUAAUGACCUCAAAAUCAUAUAAUAAACAAGGGCUAAAACUGCAAAUUUCAAACAAUAGACACCAAAAUGUAUAUUAUGCAAACCUUAAGGGCUUUUCAUAUUACCUUAAUUUAAAAAUACAAUUUUAAAUCAAAUAAUGUCAUAAGAGGUAAAUCCAUCAGAUGGAACCUGUAUAUAUCUAGUAAGCUCCUAAUUUAGGUACAAUGGCGGAGGUAAAAGAGAAAGAAAGAAGCAAUGGUAAAAUUCACUAUGUUUUAUCAGUCAAAAACCAUUUAUCAACCCAUUCACCAUCUGGAUAUCUAAAAUUAACAUCAAACACCUAAAGUGCAAAAGGGGAGAAGAAUUUAUAAAAGCAUAUAAAGAAAAAUUACAUCACAAGAAAGAGAUUGUCAAUGUACCCUUAAAUAGUACGUGAAAUAAAAUACACAUUCAUUUAAGAGCUACAUGAAUAGACUCCAAAGAGGAAACAUUUAACUCCUAAUAUUAGAAUUGCUGCCACUAAAUACAUAUAUUAUAUUCAGCAGCUGAAAAGUGGAUUAGAAAAUUGCCUUAUUUCCCUUACUAGAACUAUGCACAUCAACUGAAGUUCAUACAUUACAUCUUAGGUUAAACAACAAAUUUGAGAUGAUGAAGGAUUUUAUUUUGUGUUAAUUGAAAGUAAGG
rnacentral:misc_RNA from 1 species